GAUCCACCACAUGUGUUGGAACUUUAGUGUAGACAAAUAGAAAAAGGAAUCCUUCCUGUUGAUCUAUGCUUGGAGUUGUUAUAUGAGAAUUCAACAAGUGAUAAAGCCAAAUCCCAUUGUCCCUUCCUAUCUCCACAAAUGCAACGGAUCAGAUUACCCAAAAACUUGUUCACUACUUCCGUCUGACCAUCUGUUUGUGGAUGAGCUGUACUAGAAAAUUUUAACUCGGUGUUGAAUUGCUUCCACAAAGUUAGCCAAAAGGCAGCAAGAAACUUGCUAUCAUGGUCUGAGACGAUGGACCGUGGAACUCCAUGAAGCCUGACCACUUCUCGAAAGAACAGCAACCUGAGCUUCUUAGAUUGAAGGAGCAAAUAUCUCGUCUGAAGUCCUCAAAAGCUGCAACAAAGCGAUUGACAAAAAGAAGGAUGAUAGCAAGAAACAUUUGGAAGAGAUGAAAAGGCUGCAUAGUGCUUUGGUUGAUGUCGCAAAAGCUAUUGAGGAGUUGAAUGAGCAAGGCCAAGAUAAAAGCGUGAAACUGCAAUUAGCUGAUGAUCAAGUCAAGGAGUAUCAUAGAAUUAAGGAAGAUGCAGGAAUGAGGACAGCAAAGCUGAGAGAUGUGAAAGAAGUACUACCUCCGAUCCAUAAUAAGUGUCAGGGAUUUGUACUAACGUUAGUAUAAAUUUGCACUAACUUCCCGACACUUAUUAUGGAUCGGAGGAAGUAUCAGACAAAGAGUUAAAUGCUGAUGUUGAAGCCAACAAAAUGGAGGAGAAUAUGCAGCAGCUUUAUAGCCGUGUGGAUGAGAUAUCACAACAGGAGAGUGAAUUGCAGACCAAGCUUAAUAAGACUCUUAACUCAAUCCCCAAACAUGAAGAUGAGCUCACACGUUUACGUGAGGAACGUAACAAAAUUGCAAAGGAACGCCAAUCUUCAGGGGCUAAGUAUCAAAUAUCGAAGCAAAGAAUUACGAGAACUCAAAGCUGACAAGCAUGAAAGUGAGCGGGACGCCUGAUUCUCAGAAACUGUUAGGAGUCUUAAGAGGCUAUGCCCUGGAGUCCCUGGUCAUAUGACUGAACUUUCCAGGCCCUCACAGAAGAAAUACAACCUUGCUGUUACUGUUGCCAUGGGGAAAUUCAUGGAUGCAGUAGUGGUGGAAGAUGGAAGCACAUGAAAGGUAUGCAUUAAGGUGCUGCCUUCAUGUCUACAUUUUUCUUAGAUCUAGAAAAAGCAUAGUAUACAUGUAUGUAGUGAAUGGUAUUGCUUCUGUUUUUGUUUAAUUCAAAAUGCAAAGCACCUUUUCAAUGAAAUCAAAUUUCCAGCAUCACACU